rnacentral:rRNA from 1 species
UGGGGAAUUUUGGACAAUGGGCGCAAGCCUGAUCCAGCAAUGCCGCGUGAGUGAAGAAGGCCUUCGGGUUGUAAAGCUCUUUUGUCAGGGAAGAAACGGUGAGGGCUAAUAUCCCUUGCUAAUGACGGUACCUGAAGAAUAAGCACCGGCUAACUACGUGCCAGCAGCCGCGGUAAUACGUAGGGUGCAAGCGUUAAUCGGAAUUACUGGGCGUAAAGCGUGCGCAGGCGGUUUUGUAAGUCUGAUGUGAAAUCCCCGGGCUCAACCUGGGAACUGCAUUUGAAACUGGCAGGCUUGAGUCUUGUAGAGGGGGGUAGAAUUCCAGGUGUAGCGGUGAAGUGCGUAGAGAUCUGGAGGAAUACCGGUGGCGAAGGCGGCCCCCUGGACAAAGACUGACGCUCAGGUGCGAAAGCGUGGGGAGCAAACA